rnacentral:rRNA from 1 species
UGAACGCUGGCGGCGUGCUUAACACAUGCAAGUCGAACGGGAAUUAUUUUAUUGAAACUUCGGUCGAUUUAAUUUAAUUCUAGUGGCGGACGGGUGAGUAACGCGUGGGUAACCUGCCUUAUACAGGGGGAUAACAGUCAGAAAUGGCUGCUAAUACCGCAUAAGCGCACAGAGCUGCAUGGCUCAGUGUGAAAAACUCCGGUGGUAUAAGAUGGACCCGCGUUGGAUUAGCUGGUUGGUGGGGUAACGGCCCACCAAGGCGACGAUCCAUAGCCGGCCUGAGAGGGUGAACGGCCACAUUGGGACUGAGACACGGCCCAGACUCCUACGGGAGGCAGCAGUGGGGAAUAUUGCACAAUGGGGGAAACCCUGAUGCAGCGACGCCGCGUGAAGGAAGAAGUAUCUCGGUAUGUAAACUUCUAUCAGCAGGGAAGAUAGUGACGGUACCUGACUAAGAAGCCCCGGCUAACUACGUG